CUUCACUUCUCCCACCAGAGCUUUGGGCACUCAGCUAUGGGAGAUUGAUACUCCAAGAAAUCUAACAUAUUGAUACUCCAAGAAAUCCAUCUAUGCUAAUCCAAAUGCCAAAGGAAUGCAAAACAAGACAUGGCCAUUGUUCGAGGAUUGGGAAGAAAUAUUUGGAAAAGAUAGAGCAACGGGGGAGUUUGCAGAAAGGCCGGAAGAUGCUUUUGAGGAAAUUGUUAGGAGCCAAGGUCAAGGAGUUUCUAAUGACAGGAGAUUAGGAUUUCUUAUUGAAGUUGAUGAUGAACCAUCACCUUGCUGAUCGUCAUGUUUAAUUUCCUUAUGAGAUUAUCCUUCUUCUCAGCGGUAUUUUUCUUAGUUUUCAUGUC